GGGGAAUAUUGGACAAUGGGCGCAAGCCUGAUCCAGCCAUGCCGCGUGGGUGAAGAAGGCCUUCGGGUUGUAAAGCCCUUUUGUUGGGAAAGAAAAGCAGCCGGCCAAUACCCGGUUGUUCUGACGGUACCCAAAGAAUAAGCACCGGCUAACUUCGUGCCAGCAGCCGCGGUAAUACGAAGGGUGCAAGCGUUACUCGGAAUUACUGGGCGUAAAGCGUGCGUAGGUGGUGGUUUAAGUCCGUUGUGAAAGCCCUGGGCCCAACCUGGGAACUGCAGUGGAUACUGGAUCACUAGAGUGUGGCAGAGGGUAGUGGAAUUCCCGGUGUAGCAGUGAAAUGCGUAGAGAUCGGGAGGAACAUCAGUGGCGAAGGCGACUGCCUGGGCCAACACUGACACUGAGGCACGAAAGCGUGGGGAGCAAACAGGAUUAGAUACCCUGGUAGUCCACGCCCUAAACGAUGCGAACUGGAUGUUGGGUGCACUUUGGCACGCAGUAUCGAAGCUAACGCGUUAAGUUCGCCGCCUGGGGAGUACGGUCGCAAGACUGAAAC
rnacentral:rRNA from 1 species